AAGAGCUCGUAGGCGGUUUGUCGCGUCUGCUGUGAAAUCCGGAGGCUCAACCUCCGGCCUGCAGUGGGUACGGGCAGACUAGAGUGCGGUAGGGGAGAUUGGAAUUCCUGGUGUAGCGGUGGAAUGCGCAGAUAUCAGGAGGAACACCGAUGGCGAAGGCAGAUCUCUGGGCCGUAACUGACGCUGAGGAGCGAAAGGGUGGGGAGCAAACAGGCUUAGAUACCCUGGUAGUCCACCCCGUAAACGUUGGGAACUAGUUGUGGGGUCCAUUCCACGGAUUCCGUGACGCAGCUAACGCAUUAAGUUCCCCGCCUGGGGAGUACGGCCGCAAGGCUAAAACUCAAAGGAAUUGACGGGGACCCGCACAAGCGGCGGAGCAUGCGGAUUAAUUCGAUGCAACGCGAAGAACCUUACCAAGGCUUGACAUAUACGAGAACGGGCCAGAAAUGGUCAACUCUUUGGACACUCGUAAACAGGUGGUGCAUGGUUGUCGUCAGCUCGUGUCGUGAGAUGUUGGGUUAAGUCCCGCAACGAGCGCAACCCUCGUUCUAUGUUGCCAGCACGUAAUGGUGGGAACUCAUGGGAUACUGCCGGGGUCAACUCGGAGGAAGGUGGGGAUGACGUCAAAUCAUCAUGCCCCUUAUGUCUUGGGCUUCACGCAUGCUACAAUGGCCGGUACAAAGGGCUGCAAUACCGCGAGGUGGAGCGAAUCCCAAAAAGCCGGUCCCAGUUCGGAUUGAGGUCUGCAACUCGACCUCAUGAAGUCGGAGUCGCUAGUAAUCGCAGAUCAGCAACGCUGCGGUGAAUACGUUCCCGGGUCUUGUACACACCGCCCGUCAAGUCAUGAAAGUCGGUAACACCUGAAGCCGGUGGCCUAACCUUUUUGGAGGGAGCCGUCGAAGGUGGGAUCGGUAAUU
rnacentral:rRNA from 1 species